rnacentral:rRNA from 1 species
UACGUAGGGUGCAAGCGUUAUCCGGAAUUAUUGGGCGUAAAGAGCUCGUAGGCGGUUUGUCGCGUCUGCUGUGAAAACUGGAGGCUCAACCUCCAGCCUGCAGUGGGUACGGGCAGACUAGAGUGCGGUAGGGGAGACUGGAAUUCCUGGUGUAGCGGUGAAAUGCGCAGAUAUCAGGAGGAACACCGGUGGCGAAGGCGGGUCUCUGGGCAGCAACUGACGCUGGAGGAGCGAAAGCCGUGGGGAGCGAACAGG